rnacentral:lncRNA from 1 species
GAAAAAGUCAGUUUCUAGAAUCCAUCUGAAGUUUUAACCGGCGGCUUACAAGGGAAGAGAGUUUUUCCGUUUUGAACAACGUGCGCAGUUCCUGUCUGUCAAUCCAAGAGCUUACUUACCUGGACCCGAACCUCGGGUAGGUUAACCUUGCCGGCCAGCUCUUCGCGGCUGUACACGUCGGGGUAGUGGGACUUCUCGAAGGCGCGCUCCAGCUCGUGCAGUUGGUAAGUGGUGAACGUCGUGCGGUUGCGUCGAUGCUUCUUUUUGGGAGGUUCCUCCUCCGACAGCUUCGAGUCGCCUGCUGCUGGCCCAACCGAGAGUCCUGGGCUCGGACGUGCUUCUCCUUGCUCCUUGGGGUAGCAGGGCCUAGUAGCUGGGGGCAGCGAAGCCCCAAGCCGUCAGUGACACUCUUCGCGGAGGCGAAGCGACCUCUCUACGGCCCUAGGCGACCCGGUGCCGCGUGAGCUGGUCUAAGGAGGUCCGCGAUGGGGACCUAUGUGGGGUCACUAGAAUUUCUCUAACCUCAAGUCGGGCAAACCCCAAACCCACGACCUAAAGGUAAAGGAGGAGAAGCUCCCGUCUUGCAGAGCACCCCAGGGACUUUGCAGCCUUGCUGAGUGAGCACUCACCUUCGUACUCCGGGACGAGCCCCGGGGCUGCUGGUGGGGAAGACUCGGAGCCUCCGGCUGGCGCCUUGGGGCAGGCGGGCUGCGCGCCCAGCCUGGGAUCCCGCUCUUUCGAGCCUCUGGAGCUCCUCUCUGCAGGAAAGGUGUCUAGGAUGCCGUCUUCCUUGGUAAAGCCCAGGAUGGCUUCGAUGCUGUGCAAACGCGACGUGCUCCCGCCCGGGCUGCGGAGCAGGUGGCCAGCGAGCGAGAAGCUCCCGUCGGCCAUGGUUGGCGCGCAGCCCGGCAGGUGCAUGGAGAGGAGGGAGUGCACUUUGCAAACUGGAGCUCGAUGCCCGGUUCCCUUCUCCACCCUCACCCCCUCAAGUGUGCACUUCUAGAACGUGAGCAAAUGGAUGGGUCGGUCCAAAGCUAAACUCGGUGGAUAGGUCUGUCCACAAAGCUAAACUCGGCGGGCAACCAACCGGCUUGGGCAACGGCUCAGGAGGUGGGCAAGCGCUGGGCCAGCGAUUAACUGGACCUGCUGCUGCAGCUGCAAGUUUAGCCUCGGGGUAACUGGAGCUUUGGCGCUAAAGGCCCGCAGCGCUCUAGUCUGGGACUCCACCCUCUCUUCAGGCCCAGCCCUUUCCCUCUGUCCCUCCCCCUAUAGAGGGCGGGUCUUUCCCCUCUCAGCCUAGGGUCCUGCUCCCUGUCACCCAGGCCAGUUCCCUGAAAGUCCCUUCAUCUGAUCUAUUUCAACUCCACAUUUUCCAGGUACCAGGAGUGGGAGGUUUGACGGGAGGAGGCACCUCUCCACCCCAGUCCGAACCUCCCUGAGAGAGAUCUCCCAGGGUUCACUUCACCCCUUUCUGUGUUCACCUGCCCCUCUCUUAUCUACCAUCUCCCAAAGAUUUACACUCCCGGACCAUCUUCAGGCACUUGGAAGCUCCAAGAUCGGCUGAAGACUUUGCGGCUAACCCUGGGCGAUUGAAGUUAGUUCACAGGCCUUCCUGUUUGAAUCUUCCCUUAAUCUUCCCCUCUUUUCUACACCUAUGCUUCUGUGCUUUGCCGUCCUAGACUUCGGGCUUCCUUUGUCUGUGUCAGUUUUUACUUCUCUCUGUACCCUCAGAAAUGGUGGUGAGACAGUUUGUACCCACAGACCGAAUGACCUCAAAUGUGAGAGUUCCCAGGACUCGGAGAAGACACGCGAUAUUUCCUCUCAUGAACUAUCUUGAAGGGUCAGGAUCCUUAACCAAAUUACAGAGAUGAACAACUCUGGCCGCUUCUCACUUCCACAGGCCAUGCAGACGACCCAAAACUGGUGGGUGGAGACGUUCUCCUGGAGGAGAAGGUCCUAGCGCAUCCCUGAGAGUUAGCGCCUUAAUCCGCUUGAGUUUCUUCCCCCUUGGGGGCCCCUUGAGGCUUGCUUGACCCAGAGUGACUCAAAGGCUCAGCAGAAAGAAGACUCAUAGCAGCCUCAUCACUCUUAGCAACUAUGAGCACUGCACCCCUCAAAGCCGACGACGGUUAGAGUCCAGAGGCUGGGUGAUACCCAGCCUCACUGAAGUGUUAGUCUGAGAAGGCUAUUGCAGACGCCCCCUGAGGAGCUGGGGUUCUGCUUGCCCCAAUUCCACCUUUCUCAGAUCUCCACCAAGACAGACUUCUUUCUCAUUAAUUUUUUUUGUUGUUGUUGUUGUUCCUUCUACAGGGCCAACACUAUCCUGAAUGAGGUCACACAAGUCACACAGAACCCCACGUAGUGGCUUUGAGGAGUUGAUGUGCCAGACUGUGAGGAAUGACAAAUGAAUAUAUAAUGAGGAUUAGUUGACAGUGUGUUGAAACUGAAGUCUGGCUUAGCUCGGGAAGUUUGCGUUUGAAGAAGAACCUAUUAGGGUUGAAGAUGCCAUUCAGGGUGAAGCACUUGCCUAGAAACGUUUAAUCCCCAGCACCUGUUAAAAUAAACUACAAUAC